rnacentral:rRNA from 1 species
AUUGAACGCUGGCGGCAGGCCUAACACAUGCAAGUCGAGCGAGCGGCGGACGGGUGAGUAAUGUAUGGGGAUCUGCCCGAUGGAGGGGGAUAGCUACUGGAAACGGUAGCUAAUACCGCCUACUAUCGGAUGUGCCCAUAUGGGAUUAGCUAGUUGGUGGGGUAAAGGAUCACCUAGGCGACGAUCCCUAGCUGGUCUGAGAGGAUGAUCAGCAACACUGGAACGGAGACACGGUCCAGACUCCUACGGGAGGCAGCAGUGGGGAAUAUUGCACAAUGGGCGAAAGCCUGAUGCAGCCAUGCCGCGUGUAUGAAGAAGGCCUUCGGGUUGUAAAGUACUUUCAGCGGGGAGGCGUUACCCGCAGAAGAAGCACCGGCUAACUCCGUGCCAGCAGCCGCGGUAAUAC